rnacentral:lncRNA from 1 species
UAAAUAAUGUGGGAAAGAUUUCAAAUUUUUUUUUUUUCUUUUUUUUUUGAGACAGAGUCUUGCUCUGUUGCUCAGGGUGGAGUGCAGUGGUGCCAUCUUGGCUCACUGCAAUCUCUGCCCCGUCUCUUGGGCUCAAGCCAUUUUCAUGUCUCAGCCUCCUGAGUAGCUGGGAUUAUAGGCGCCACAUUUACUUGUGUUUCUUUUUCUUUUCUUUUCUUUUUCUUUUCUGGGGCAAAGUCUCACUCUGUAGUCCAGGCUAGAGUGCAGUGGCGCGAUCUCGGCUCACUACAACCUCUGCCUCCCAGGUUCAAGCGAUUCUCUUGCCUCAGCCUCCCAGGUAGCUAGCUGGGAUGACGGAAGCAUGCCACCAUGCCUGGCUAAUUUUUGUAUUUUUUAGUAUAGACAGGGUUUCACCAUGUUGGCCAGGCUGGUCUCGAACUCAUGAACUCAAAUGAUCUGCCCACCUCGGCCUCCCAAAGUGUUGGGAUUACAGGCAUGAACCACUGCACUGGCCUGUGUUUCUUUAAAGCUUUGCGAACAAAGUGACAUCUCUCCAAAACAAACCAACAGAAGUGUAUUUUUUUCAAAUCAUAUGCUUGUACAAGUGGGAGAGGAUCAGUUUAUUAAAGAACUCUGCAGUUAAUAUUGCUGAAUUAU